rnacentral:rRNA from 1 species
GGAAAACUCACCAGGUCCAGACACAGUGAGGAUUGACAGAUUGACAGCUCUUUCUUGAUUCUAUGGGUGGUGGUGCAUGGCCGUUCUUAGUUGGUGGAGUGAUUUGUCUGGUUAAUCCCGUUGACGAACGAGAUCUUGACCUGCCAAACAGCGGUGAGUGUCUUCGGACAUUCAUGUCGCCCCCCAGAGGGACCUUGUUGCAUUCAAGUUCAAGGAAGUUUGAGGCAACAA